GACGAACGCUGGCGGCGUGCCUAAUACAUGCCAGUAGAACGCUGAAGGAGGAGCUUGCUUCUCUGGAUGAGUUGCGAACGGGUGAGUAACGCGUAGGUAACCUGCCUGGUAGCGGGGGAUAACUAUUGGAAACGAUAGCUAAUACCGCAUAAGAGUAGAUGUUGCAUGACAUUUGCUUAAAAGGUGCAAUUGCAUCACUACCAGAUGGACCUGCGUUGUAUUAGCUAGUUGGUGGGGUAACGGCUCACCAAGGCGACGAUACAUAGCCGACCUGAGAGGGUGAUCGGCCACACUGGGACUGAGACACGGCCCAGACUCCUACGGGAGGCAGCAGUAGGGAAUCUGCGGCAAGGGACGGAAGUCUGACCGAGCAACGCCGCGUGAGUGAAGAAGGUUGUCGGAUCGUAAAGCUCUGUUGUAAGAGAGGGACGAGUGUGAGAGUGGAAAGUUCACACUGUGACGGUAUCUUACCAGAAAGGGACGGCUAACUACGUG
rnacentral:rRNA from 1 species